rnacentral:rRNA from 1 species
CAGCCGUAAACUAUGCGCGUUAGGUGUACUGGUGACCACGAGUCACCGGGGUGCCGAAGGGAAAUCGUGAAACGCACCACCUGGGAAGUACGGUCGCAAGGCUGAAACUUAAAGGAAUUGGCGGGGGAGCACCACAACAGGUGGAGCCUGCGGUUUAAUUGGAUUCAACGCCGGACAUCUCACCGGAUAAGACAGCUGAAUGAUUGUCAAUCUGAAGGUUUUACAUGACUAGCUGAGAGGAGGUGCAUGGCGUCAGUGACU